CUCAGGUUUUCCUGACUCUAGCUUUAAAUCUAUACUUUCUGUGAUAGUAUCCCAAACCCAGGGUAACCAUAGAAAAAUAAUGGAAAGCCAAAGUCAUCUCUCCAGAGGAACCUAAAUUACAGACAAGAGUCAUCUAUGACAGGACAAAAGUCAGGAUGACCGGUGAUGCCUGGGGAUGCAGUGGAUGACCUUGGCUGCUUAUGUGUCUGACUAACUGCUCCACAGCGCCUCCUUCAGGCACCUUCAUUGCCAUUGGUACAAACUCUUCUCAUCUGCCCCUUCUGACAGGGACAAAGAACUGAAAAGUGAGGGGAAUGGCUGAAUAAGUUAUGGAAUAUGAAAUGUGAUAGAAUACUAUUGUGCUAUAAGCAAUGAUGGAGAUCUGAAGAAGAACCUGGAAAGACAUGCAUGAACUGAAGUACAGUGAAAUGAGCAGAGUCUGAAGAACAAUUUAUACAAUAAUAAUAAUAAUAAUAUAUAAUCUUGUAAAGAAAAACAGCAUUAAAAGAUUUAAGAACUGGUAUCAAGAGAGUGACAACCAUGAUUCUAGAGGACUGAUGAUGAAACAUGCUGCCCACUUCCUGACAAAGGAUUCAGGGUACAGAUUAAAACCUAAUGUAGGUGGGGGG